AUAUAGCUAGGAUGCAAAAGUGCAUUAUUCUGUUUGCUGUAUAAUAAACCAUGUAUCCUAGUAGAACGGCCUGAGGUAGAGUGGUUUUAGUCGGUAGGUCCGAGGACACCUUCCUCGGGAAUCUGACACUAUCCAGUCGUACGGAUGGCUGGGUGUCUUUUGAAGAUUUCCCUUCUUCCACGAAA
rfam:Agrilus planipennis Contig4409, whole genome shotgun sequence.